GGAGGAGUGCCCGAGUGGUCGAAGGGGGCCGACUCGAAAUCGGCUGAGGAGGUGUUAAGCCUCCUCCGGGGGUUCGAAUCCCUCCUCCUCCG
rnacentral:tRNA from 1 species